AUCUCAUUGCUUAUCCAUUCCAAAGGCAAUAGCUUGCAUCUGUUAACCCCAGAUUCCCAGUCCAUCCCACUCCCUCCCCCUCUCCCUUGGCAACCACAAAUCUGUUCUCCAUGUCCAUGAUAGACUUGUUUUUUAAAAAUUCUUCUGGUAAGAUGAUAUUUAAUUUUUCAUGUCACCUUAUCAUGAAUAUUCUCUCACUCAAUACAUUUCCUGCAGUUUUAUAUAAAAAGCAUCAAUUUAUCCAUCCUGGUAUAUUUAUCAAUGAGGUAUAUCUGAAGGAAGAGACAGUUGGUGCAUCACUGGUCAUCCUUCACUUGCGCUGCUCUUGUGUCAACAUUCUUUAUUUACAUUCUUCAAGCUAGGUAUUAAUGCCAUAUGUUGUCAAAGAAAGUGGCUCAUUUUAUUUAAUAGAAUAUCAGGAAAUAUGCUGUCGAAUGCCAUGCCUAAUCAAGUGCAGCGACUAGUCUAAUACGUCUGCUAAAGAAGAAAAUACAGUUAGCCUGGCACAGUUUAGAAUGCCUGCAACUUUCUUCUCAUUCUACAUAUCCCCUAAGGAGUAUUUCAUCUUUUAUGAGUUCAAUGACUAUUCAUUGGUUGAUUGCUACCGAAAGUAUAUGUCUUGGUCCAAGAUUUCAUUCCUGAGCUUCAUCCACAUUUCUAAAAGCUUCCUAGCAAUCCCACUUGGAUGGGUUUAGGAACCACAAAGAAAGUAUAUUCAAAUAAGAAUUUGUGAUCUCUCCUUCAAAUCUCCUACUCAGAUUGCUUAUUUCAAAUAAUGGAUUGAUCAUUUACCUAGUUUUCUCAGCUAACAAUGUUAUAACAAUGUUUUUUCCUUUCUAUUUAUACACAAUUCCCUCUUUCUCUUUAUACACAAUUCCCUCUCUACUGGAUAAUUCCCUCAUUUGUGCCUUAUGAUUUCCACAGCCCCUACCAUCAUGCAGGCCUUGCCACUCAUAUCACCUCCAUCACAUACAUAUCUCCUCUCCACUUUCCAGCCUCAAUUUCACCAGCAUCAGCAUCACCUAGAACUAGAUAGAGAUGCAAAUGGUUGGGCACCACCUCAGAUUGACUAUAUUAGUAACUCUAAGUGAAGUGUAACAAUCGCUCGUGAUCUGAUAUACACUCAAGUAUGAGAACCCUUGCUGUAUGUUAAGGAAAAAUUCAAACACUUCCUUAUACUCACAUGUUAUCUUUAAUGCCAAUAGUCCUCUUAAUUUUUAUCUCAAUUAUUUUCUCUAUUUUUGAACUUAAUCUAAUUUUAUCUGGGGCUCUUUAUUAUCACUAAUAAUUCUUCUGGCAAACAACAGCAUCCGAAUCAACAUCUCAGAGUGUCCUGACACUGAAGUUGACAGCAAAUGAUCUACUCCAGCAGUCAGUACACUAUGACCCAGAGGCCAAAUGCAGCUCAUCCUUUGUUUCUAUAAAUAAAAUUUUAUUGCAACAUAAUCAUACUUAUUUGUUUGUGUAUUAUCUAUGACUGAUUUUGUACUACAGCAACAGAGUUGAGCAUUUAACAGAGACCAUAGGCCUGAAAAGCCUGAAAUAUUUACUAUCUGUCCUUUGACAGAAAAAAAAGUUUCCUGACACUGUCAUCAUGUAUCAUUCAAUAUAUAUUUAUUCAGCAUAUGCUAUUAAUCAGGCACUGUUUCAGGCACUGAGGAAGCAGAGGUAAGAAACAGCCCAAAGCAUAUAUCUAAAUAGGAGAUGAUAAUUUUGGGCAAAGAACAAGAAAACAUGUAAGUUAUAAAUAAGAUCAUUUUAGAAAGUGAUUUGUGCUGUGAAGAAAAUAAAGUGGAUGCAAUGGAAGAAAAAGACUGUCCAGAGGCACUACUCUUGGGUUAAGUGCCAAGAAGCCCCCUCCAAUGCCCCCUCCAGAUGGCAUUAAACUAAGACCUCAAUGAAAAGGAUGAAUUGAUGACAAGAACAGGUGUACUAAGUUCUUGUGAUGGAAAGGACUUUACCUGUCCUAAAAACAUAAAGCCCAGUAUAGAGCAAAGUAAAUGCUGGAGAGAUACGAGGUACUGGCUAAACGUUUGUGAGACUUCAAAUCAAUGACAAAUUGAAUUCUUUCAUUUCCACUGUGUUUCAUAGGAGGAAGUGAUAUUGACUAAGGCUGUUUAUUAUUCUUUUGUGUUAAUGAUUUAUGUUGGUUGCAGUGCAGGCAUAAAUUACUUUUGCAUCAAGGCUGAAAAAUUAAUAACUUCAAAAUAAAAAAAAAAAAAGAAAACAUGAUGCAUGUCCUCUUUAGAGGCUAGGUUGAAAUAUUGCUCCUUACUCAUUUCUACCUUGACCAGGCUGGCAAAGUUAAGCCAGACAUUAAAAUUUUCCAAUCCUCAAACCAAGUGACAUGACAAUUAAAAAAAAAAAUUCAGACUGCUAGUGGAAUAGGAGUUCCCGACAUGGCUCAGCCAAAACAAAUCUGACUAACAUCCAUGAAGACGAAGGUUUAGACCCUGGUCUUGCUCAGUGAGUUAAGGAUCCAGCAUUGCCAUAAGCUGUGGUGUAGGUCACAGAUGCGGCUCAGAUACCAUAUUGCUAUGGCUGUGGUAUAGGCUGGCAGCUGUAGCUCCAAUUCCACUCCUAGCCUGGGAACCUCCAUAUGCUGGGGGUACUGCCCUAGAAGACAAAAAAAAAAAAAAGUACUAGUUGAAUAAAGAAAUAAAAAGAACUGAUGACUUGAACAUGAGCAAGAAAAGAAGUUUUAAUACGUACACAUUUUCUUCUUUUAUGGAGAAAAAUGUUGGAAGUAAUUGCAUAGUGUGGGGCUGGUGGUUUGUUGAGAAGAGGGAAAUAUGUUAAUGAAACACUGAAAAUUCUCGUUAAGAAUCAACAACUUAGGUGCUUGCUUUGACAGCAGAUGUUAUUAAAAUUGGGAAGAUAGAAGAGUAGCAUGGCUGCUUUGCAAGAAUGACAUGAAAACUGAUGAGGUUCCAUAUUUUUUAAAAGACAGGCAAAUGGCUUAAAUAGACAUUUCUUCAAAGAUGAUAUACAAAAGGUCAAUAAGCAUGAGAAGAUGAUUAGGAAAAUACAAAUUAAAACUACAAUGAGACAUUAUCUCGUACCUAUUAGAAUAGCUACAAAAAAAUAGGAAAUGACCAGUGUUGGUGAGGACAUAGAGAAAUUGGAACACUUAUGUACUGUUGAUGGUUGGUGGGAAUAAAAAAUUGUGCAAUUACUAUGGCAAAGAGUAUGGAGGUUCCUCAAAAAUUUCGAAUUGAACUACUGUAUGCAAUUUCACUUCUAUGUCCACAAAAAUUGAAAGCAGUAUCUCAAAGAAAUAUUUGCACAAUCGUAUUUAGAGCACCACUAUUUGCAAUAGAAAAGAGGAUGAAGCAACCAGUUUCUGUCAAUGGAUAAAUGGAUAAAGAAAACAUUGUAUAUGCAUACAAUGGAAUGCUGGUCAGCCUUGAAAAAGAAAGGAAAUUCUGAUAAAUGUUGCAAUAUGGAUCCAUUUUUAAGACAUUCUGUUAAGUGAAACAAGUUAGUCACAAAAAGACAAAUAUCGUAUAAUUCCACCUACAUGAGGUUCUUAGAAAGUCCAAUUCAAAGAGACAGAAAACAGAAUGGUGGCUGUUGGGGGCUCCUGGGAGGGGAUAACAGAGUGUCCCAUUUACAGAAUUAAAGGAGUUAUGGGGAUAGAUUAUAAUGAUAGUUGCCCAACAAUGUGAAUUAACACCAUUGAACAAUGUGAAUUAACACCAUUGAACUGUAAAUUCAGAAAUUAAGAUGGUAAAUUUUAUUUACCACAAUAAGAAAAACAAAAGCAGGAGACAUGGUGUCAAUUGAUCAGAACAAAGUUUGGGACACUAAAUCAGAUAUAAGAGCUAAGGAUUGUCAACUUGUAAAGACCACAGGGAAAUGUUACAGAGUUAAAGAAUUUAUCACUUCUUGGGUGGGUUGAAGAGAGGACGAACAUAGAAAAUCUUGCCCUCUGCAACUAUUCAGAUUGAAAAGACUAAUUAAAAAUGCUUUUCCUGACUUUUAAGAGAGGACAAAUGCUAUGACAUAGAUUCUUAUCUUCUUAUUUUCAAGUGUGUUGUUAGCCAGUAGCUUGAAAUCAGCAAAAGGUAACCUCUUGGCAAUUAAUGAUUUGACUUUGUUUUAUGGUUCAGAGGUAAUUUCAUUCAUAUUUUGAUUUGAUACAGCAUUAUCAGCACCACUUUAAAGAUAAACAGAGGGUCAAGAGAUAGAAGAAAGACACAUGGUAGGAAUUAUCAGUAGAAAUGUUGAAUAAAUGCUUAUUUCAGUCAGGUUUUAAAUCUUGAGUACUCAGUACUAUAACAUUAUGUAAUUAUCUGGUUCUGCCAUAUUCCAAGUACAUAAGCGUGGGCAAGAUACAAUCGCUGCAAUUAAGUUUCCUCAUCUGUAAAAUGAUUCCAUGUACUUCAUAAAGUUUUUGCAACAGUUAAAUGAGAUAACAUAUGUGCAAGUACCCAAACAAUAAAACUCAUUCAAGUGUAAGCUAUAAUUGUCAUGAAGUCCCCAUAAUUCUGGGAGGAAGUACCUUAACCAAGAGUCAGAGAAUAGAAACAAUGCUUUUUAAAAAUCCUAAAAAUAGGGUCUUGCAACAGAUUAUAUGUUGAAAUAAACAUUCAGAGAUUAAAAUUUGAAGAUAUUUCUCUCUCUCUCUUUUUUUCCUUUCUUUUUAGGGCCACACUCAUGGCAUAUGGAGGUUCCCAGGCUAGGGAUCUAAUUGGAGCUACAGCUGCAAGCCAACACCAUGGCCACAGCAACAUAGGAUCCCAGGCGUGUCUGUCUGUGACCUACACCACAGCUCACAGCAACGCCGGAUCCUUAACCAACUGAGCAAGGCCAGGGAUCGAACCCACAACCUCAUGGUUCCUAGUCGGAUUUGUUUCUGCAGCACCAUGAUGGGAACUUCAAAAUUUGAAGAUAUUUCUCAAGUAAUUCAUUUGGAGAAUAACAGAGAAAUAAAAGAACUUUGCUGACCCAGAAUAUUCAGUGUUCUAGCUCUUAAAUUCUUACCAAGAAAAUAUUUCUUUCCUUCUUUUAUGCAUACAAAUUAUAAUUUAGAAUCACAAAAUUUCAUGGCCGAGUCUAUACAUAUUUAUAAUAAUUAAAAGUGAAAAUUUUGAUUUUAAUAUAUUUGGUUCUGGGUCCUAAUCACUUCUGUAGAUGAUUUUCAUCAUUUUCUUAAAUUUUUAUAACCUCAUUUUUCUAUCUGUUAGAGUGUGAGACAAUUUGCUCCUGUCUUAGUUUAGAUUCUUCAUGAACAAUGCCUGAGACAUGGACUUUGUGUGCAGAUGGUUUAACGGGGAAGUGACUGCAGAAAGGAGAGUGAGGAAGACAGGAUAGUGAAACUGUAGGGGGGAAAGGCAAGGGAUGUGGCAUCUCUGAACUAGUCUCUCUGGUGAACACUAAGCUCAGACACCCUUGAGACAGUCCAAAGAACCACACAGACUGCGUCUCCAAAAUGAUCCCACUAAAGGGAGGAAAGCUGAAGGGUUUCCUGCAUGAUGGCUGAGUGGCUAAGGCUUUAGGGAUAAUCUGAAAGGUAGGAAAGCUGAGAGUCACAGAGGCAGGGGUUUGUAGGGCAGUGCUGCAAGAGUGCAGUGAAAACAAGUGGGUGGCUUGGAUGUGGUGUCCAUACAAAAAACGUCUCCUUCCUCAUU
rnacentral:lncRNA from 1 species